rnacentral:rRNA from 1 species
CCUACGGGGGGCUGCAGUGAGGAAUAUUGGUCAAUGGACGAGAGUCUGAACCAGCCAAGUAGCGUGAAGGAUGACUGCCCUAUGGGUUGUAAACUUCUUUUAUAUGGGAAUAAAAUGUUCCACGUGUGGGAUUUUGUAUGUACCAUAUGAAUAAGGAUCGACUAACUCCGUGCCAGCAGCCGCGGUAAUACGGAGGAUCCGAGCGUUAUCCGGAUUUAUUGGGUUUAAAGGGAGCGUAGGUGGAUUGUUAAGUCAGUUGUGAAAGUUUGCGGCUCAACCGUAAAAUUGCAGUUGAAACUGGCAGUCUUGAGUACAGUAGAGGUGGGCGGAAUUCGUGGUGUAGCGGUGAAAUGCUUAGAUAUCACGAAGAACUCCGAUUGCGAAGGCAGUUCACUGGACUGCAACUGACACUGAGGCUCGAAAGUGUGGGUAUCAAACAGGAUUAGAUACCCGUGUAGUC